UUAUUGUAGUGACCUGGAACUGAACUCACAAUAUCUUUGAGAUAUAACUAUAUAUAUUUAUAUAUAGGGUAUCUAUUUCUCAGCCGGUAAUCACUUCUCUCCUCCCCUUGACCCCUUCUUUGUGAUGAAGUAUGCUUUCCCAUGCUCUUUGAUGUUGAGCUUGGCUAUGUGACUUGCUUUGGUCAAUGAAAUAUUUGCAGAUGUCUUUGGCUUUACUUUCAUGCUGUGGUGAUUGGCUAUGAAGAGAGCAUGCUCCAGGUAUCCUGGACUCCAGGAUGAACACACGUAAUGCAGACCUGAACCCACCCUGCACCCCUGCAGCAAAACCGCCCCACUGAGCUCACGCUUAGGUCAGCCGAACUGCAGUGGACCUACAGACCCAUGAGCGUAGGGGGAAAUGCCUGCUCUUAGCAGCCACUGAAUCCUGUCCUGAUUUGUUGAUGCAGGAUGAUGAUGGUGGUAGCUGACUCAAAUGGCCUCUAUCAAAAUUAAUUCCUUGUCCACAUAUAGAACUUGGGAACUGAUUUUUGGAGGGUUUAAAAGAAUCAUCCUGACCCAGCUUUAAUUUUAAAUUCCAUGUAAAGUUUAAGCUUGACAUUUCAAAGUUUCUGAUUUCUAUUUAACUUCUUGGCUCUCAGUGGUAUCUACUCACUGCUCAUUGAGAGUUACCUGUAAAUCUCCCCAAUUCCAUUCACCACUACAAAAUGAUUAAGUGCUGACUCCCAUUGUUCUCUUCCAAUGGUAAGGCCAACAUGCAGUCUCAGAACAGUCAUUAGAUGUGAAAUGAGGCUGAACACAACUGGAAACCUCGUGGUGCUGGGUCUAAGCCCUCCCAAGUGGAUCCCCUUUGUAUAAAGUUCUUUCAUGUUUUGGGGUGAUUUUUUGACCCAUAUAUUUGUCCCAAGCCGUGUAAUAAGCUUUGCUCGUGGUAUUCCCUAAGACAAGAUCAAAUAAUUUCCCAAAGUUCCUCACCUGCGCUAGAGGACCUGUGUUUCUCUGCUCCUCGUAGCCUGGCAGCAGAGACCCGGAGUGGCCUAGGGCGAGGCUGUGACUGCAUCACCUGUCCAAUGCCACAUCCUUCUUCCUCACGCACAUGGCCCAUGAAAGCCAGAACAUGAUCAGAAUAUGCUCAGAACACGCUCAGAACAUGCUCAGAGCACACUUGGAACAUGCUCAGAACACACUCAGAACACACUUAGAACACGCUCAGACCAUGCUCAGAACAUGCUCAGAACACGCUCAGAACAGACUCGGAAUACACUCAGAACAUACUCAGGACAUGCUCAGAAUAGGCUCAGAACACAGAACAUGCUCAGAACAUGCUCAGAACACACUGAGAACAUGUUUAUAACACGCUCAGAACCGACUCAGAAUACACUCAGAACAUACCCAGAACAUGCUCAGAACAUGCUCGAAACACGCUCAGAACAUGCUCAGAACACACGCAGAACAUGCUCAGAACAUGCUCAUGCUUAGAAACAACUUGCUCGGAACAUGUUUGGAACAUGCUCAGAACACACUCAGAACAUGUUUAUAACAUGCUCACAACAGGCUCAGAACACACUUGGAACAUGCUUGGAACAUGCUCAGAGCACACUCAGAACAUGCUUGGAACAUGCUCAGAACACGCUCAGAACAGGCUCAGAACACACUCAGAACAUGCUUGGAACAUGCUCAGAACACACUCAACACGCUCAGAACAGGCUCGGAACACAUUCAGAACACAUUCAGAACACGCUCAGAACAUGCUCAGAGCAUGCUCAGAACACGCUCAGCUCUGCUCUGUGUCAGCUUCCUGAGUAGCCCCACCCAUGACGCCUUCGUAGGCAAGCGGGGGCUUUCCAAGUCCUCAUUCAUGCUGCUUUCCGGUGCAAGAAUACUGCCUCAAGGAAACAUUAAAAUUAUCAUAGAGAAGUAGAGAAAAUACCAGGAUUUUCAGGAGUGGACUUGACAGACGUUUGCCUGAUGUGUGAAACGGGUGGCUGUAGGAGAAGGUGUCCAUCACACUUACGGGCAGACGGAGAAGCUCAUUCGCUCAUGCUGUCAACCCUCGCUGGGUGUCUAGCAGGGACCAGACGCAGGUCUCAGCCCUGGGAGUGCAGGGGGCACAUGGUCAGCAUUUUGUGUAACACCAUGUUCCAAAUCAAUGUAAAAACCGCGAUAACAAAAUUAUUACUCGCCAUAACUGAAGCCCAUCCUGUGGCCCACAGAGAGAGCCAGGGAGUCUCAGGUGUGUGUGCGAGAAGAGGUUCAACUCUUCCCUCCACUGCCUCCUCAUAGAGGAAGGACCGGGGGCUCGCACCCAAUAAUAUACAGUGAUAGGAAGAACUCCUGUGAUAUCAGAAGAAUCAACUCCAGAGGUGUUCGACAGGACUGCGUUUCAGAGACUUCCUUUUGGUACGCCCAGCCUCUUAAAGCCUAACACAUAAAUGGAGCCUCUUCUGGAGGGAGGAAAAAAGACCAGAAUGCAUUGCACGCAAUGUGCUGCCUCAUACCCGAUGUACAGGAGUCUCCGCAGUGGGAAUCCUGCCAUGGGCACUCGCAAACCACAUCUUCGACCACACAAUGAGCUUCAGGUUUGU
rnacentral:lncRNA from 1 species